GUGGACGCCAGUCUGCAUGGAGCCGACCUUGAAAUACCACCCUUUAAUGUUUGAUGUUCUAACGUGGACCCGUGAUCCGGGUUGCGGACAGUGUCUGGUGGGUAGUUUGACUGGGGCGGUCUCCUCCUAAAGAGUAACGGAGGAGCACGAAGGUUGGCUAAUCCUGGUCGGACAUCAGGAGGUUAGUGCAAUGGCAUAAGCCAGCUUGACUGCGAGCGUGACGGCGCGAGCAGGUGCGAAAGCAGGUCAUAGUGAUCCGGUGGUUCUGAAUGGAAGGGCCAUCGCUCAACGGAUAAAAGGUACUCCGGGGAUAACAGGCUGAUACCGCCCAAGAGUUCAUAUCGACGGCGGUGUUUGGCACCUCGAUGUCGGCUCAUCACAUCCUGGGGCUGAAGUAGGUCCCAAGGGUAUGGCUGUUCGCCAUUUAAAGUGGUACGCGAGCUGGGUUUAGAACGUCGUGAGACAGUUCGGUCCCUAUCUGCCGUGGGCGCUGGAGAACUGAGGGGGGCUGCUCCUAGUACGAGAGGACCGGAGUGGACGCAUCACUGGUGUUCGGGUUGUCAUGCCAAUGGCACUGCCCGGUAGCUAAAUGCGGAAGAGAUAAGUGCUGAAAGCAUCUAAGCACGAAACUUGCCCCGAGAUGAGUUCUCCCUGAGACUUAGAGUC
rnacentral:rRNA from 1 species